AUUGAACGCUGGCGGCAUGCCUUACACAUGCAAGUCGAACGGCAGCGCGGGGCAACCUGGCGGCGAGUGGCGAACGGGUGAGUAAUAUAUCGGAACAUACCCUAGAGUGGGGAUAACGUAGCGAAAGUUACGCUAAUACCGCAUACGCACUAAGGUGGAAAGUGGGGGAUUCGCAAGAACCUCAUGCUCAUGGAGUGGCCGAUAUCUGAUUAGCUAGUUGGUGAGGUAAAGGCUCACCAAGGCAACGAUCAGUAGCUGGUUUGAGAGAACGACCAGCCACACUGGAACUGAGACACGGUCCAGACUCCUACGGGAGGCAGCAGUGGGGAAUUUUGGACAAUGGGGGCGAACCCUGAUCCAGCAAUGCCGCGUGAGUGAAGAAGGCCUCGGUGUAAGCUCUUGUCUGAGAACGGUAGAGAG
rnacentral:rRNA from 1 species